AUGGCUUGGAAUCCAAGUCGUGGUCGUGGUGGUGGUGGCAACGUGACGGCAAACCGUGAGGAUGAAAUUAGAUUCCGUAGACAACUAGAAGCCCUUAGCUCUGAUGAAGAAUACAGUGAGCAGGAUGAUACACAGAGACCAAGCUUCCGAGGGCCAGUGGCUAUCCGUAGGCAUCAUCGGGGAAUAGGAUUCAGAAGUGGUGGUAGAGGAAGAAACGAUAAUUUUUUCAGACGAAGAUUUCCAGAAAAUCAUCCUUCAUUUCUUCUGAUGAGACAUGACAACAGUGAAGAUCGAUCAGGUUGGAAUGGAAACCAAUCUGAAGAGAGACAACCACAAAUAGAGGGAAAUCAAGUUUCCUUCAGGAGAUUUCAUGACCACUCCCAAUCUCGUGGUCGCCCCAUUAACAGAUCUCAUGGCCGACACUCCAGAUCUCCUAGCCCCUUCAGGAGAGCACCUGUCCACUCAGAUAGACCAUAUCAUGACCACUCAGAUAGACCCCAUCUUGACCACUUUGAUAGACCCAGGGGUGACCACUUAGAUAGACCCCGUCAUGACCACUUGGAUACACCUGAGGAUGAACUCUCAGAUGAACCCCAUCAUGACCAUGCAAAUAGACCAUAUUAUGACCACUCAGAUAGACCCCAUCUUGACCACUUUGAUAGACCCAGGGGUGACCACUUAGAUAGACCCCGUCAUGACCAUGUAGGUAGACCACAUCAUGACCACGCAGAUAGACUCCGUCAUGACCACUUGGAUAGACCUCAAGAUGAACACUUAGAUGGACCCCGUCAUGACCAUGCAAAUAGACCAUAUUAUGACCACUCAGAUAGACCCCGUCAUGACCAUGGAGCUAGACCAUAUCAUGACCAUACAGAUAGACCUCGUCAUGACCACUCAGAUAGAUUCCAUCUUGACCACUUGGAUAGACCCCAAGAUGACCACUUAGAUAGACCCCGUCAUGACCAUGUAGGUAGACCAUAUCAUGACCACUCAGAUAGACCCCGUCAUGACCAGGCAGGUAGACCAUAUCAUGACCACUCAGAUAGACCCCAUCUUGACCGCUUGGAUAGACUCCAAAAUGACCACUCAGAUAGACCCCGUCAUGACCAUGCAGGUAGACCACAUCAUGAAUACUCAGAUAGACCAUAUCAUGACCACUCAGAUAGACCCCGUCAUGACCAUGCAGGUAGACCACAUCAUGACCACUCAGAUAGACCUUAUCAUGACAAUUUAGAUAGACCACAUCAUGACCACUCAGAUAGACCCCGUCUUGGCCACAUGGGAAGAGCUCGUCUUAGCCGUGCAGGGCUAGCUCGCCGUGGCCAGAGAGGGAGAGAUCAUCUUAAUCACACAGGGCUGGCUCUUCCCAACCAUGCAGAGAGAGCUCAUCUAAGCCACACAGAGCUAGCUCAUAGUGGUCACAGAGGAAGAGCUCGUCGUGGCCAAAGAGGGAGAGCUCGUCCCAACCGUACAGGGCUAGUUCGUAACAGCCAUGCUGGGAGAGCUAAUAAUGACCACUUAGGGAGACUUCAUCCUGGCCAUGUAAGGAGAGCUCAUAACAACCGUACAUGGAGAUCUCGAAGUCUUGAAGAGAGAUAUCGUGGUCAAAGAGAAAGAUUUGGAAGAAUCCAAACAUCACCGGAAUCUGACCCUGAAAUUGACAGAACUUCUACAAUAAGAGAACAGACUGAAUACUUAUUUGAUCAGGAACGGCACAGAAAUGAGCUAAUUAAUCUGAAUGGAGGGCUGAUAGAAGAAGGCUACAGCUCUGAUCAAAGUGACGAAAGUUCUGACAGAUUCACCAUACUGAGGACUUUGAGACGUGCCAGAUUAAACAAUAUGAACAAUGGACAAGGAAGACGGGAAGACUGAACUGUCCUUUCCUAUUAGGGGUUAGCUGCUAAUUGCACUGAACCAUACUUAGGAGCAUAAAUAUAUUCUUAGAAUGUUGGACUUUAGACUUAUUAUUGAAGUACUUUCUUAGGUAGGGUUUGAUGCUAGGAUUUUGUUGAUACUAAGCACUUGGAAGUAAAAAUUGUUUAGCACUGUUUGCAUAAGAGAAUAAGGAGAUGAGCAAAAAGAAAGCUGGUUUAAGUGGGUCAUUUUAAGGAAACAGCUAUCUUUAGAAUGAUAAGGUUUUUUUCAAUGUGAGAGAAAAUAUAAUUUACUGUAGUCCUUAAGCUGUGGAACCUAUAUAGCUGAUAAGAAAGUUCUCUCCACAAAAACCAAUCCCUGUUAGUAACUUUAACUAUUGUAUUGCUAAAAUAGAAAACUUUUGUACUGUUACAUUUUAUAGAAAUUGGUACUGUAACAGAAAGUGAAGUGUUAACAUCUUCUGUUGUUGGUUUUAUAAGCACAUGAAAAAUAAUAAAGUGUAUGAGCAUUGGCAUUUCUUUAUUUAUUUAUUUCAGUGCUAGAACUAGAGCCUAGGGCCCUGGGAGUGUGAGACAGCUCAGCAGGCAAAGGCACUUGGCACCAAGCUUCAUCCACAUGAGAUCACCCCUGUGUUCACGUAGUAGAAAGAGAGAAGUGACCUUUUUUUUCUUGUUUUUCUUGUUUUUUGUUUUUUCUUUCAAGACAGGGUUUCUCUGUGUAGCUUUGGAGGUUGUCAUGGAACUCGCUCUGUAGACCAGGCUGGCCUCGAACUCACAGAGUUCUGCCUGCCUCCGCCUCCCGAGUGCUGGUAUUAAAGGUGUGCACCACCAACGCCCAGGUGAGAACUGACUUCUACAAGUUGUCAUCUAACCUCUUCCAUAUGUAUGCCUGUACACAAAUACACAAAAUAAAAAAUGUAAUUAAAAAAAAAGAGCCUGGGGCCUUAAGCAUCGUAGGCCAUGGUCUACUACUCUGCUGUCUCCCCAGCUCAAAUAAUAUUUAAAUAUAAAUAUGAUUUUUUUUCCUGACCACUGAUAAUUGGAGUCCAAAGCAAUAAUGAUCCUGAUAUGAUAAAUCAGCAAAGUAUGACUUUGACCUCUCGGCCUCUGUGUUCAAUUAACCUUAUAGUUCUACAUUCCACAAAGUGAUGCUGUAAUUAUGUGGUAUUUCUGUAUAAGGCUGGUGCGAUGGUUACUGUCAGUUCACCACUUGAUGAGGUCCAGAAUCAAUUGGGAGACUGCUUCUGGGUAUGCCUGUGGGGGGAAUAUCGUUAACUGAAGUAGGAAGACCCACCCACUGUGGGUAGCACCAUUCCCUGGGCUGUGAUUUCUACUGUGGGAAAAGUAGAAAAUGGGCUAAACACAAGCAUUCAUAGCUGCUUCAAGUUCCCAUUGCUGUGAUUUCCUCACCAUAACAGUCUGUAACCUCAAAAGGCCAGUUAAAAUACACAUUUUUUCUUCUCUAAGUUGAUUUUACCACGGCAAUGGGCUAUUAAACAAAAAACAAAAAACAAAAAAACAUUAAGUUGGCAGAAGGGAAUGGAUCUAGGAGAAGCUAGAAGUAGAGCAAGUGUGUGUGGGGGUGGUGAAAGGGGCUAGUGGCAAAAUGAUCAAUCUACACCAGGUUUCUUCAUUCUAAGGGCAUUUUGAAGCCACACUACUCUAAUUAGCCUUGGGACUAAAAAGUUCUCAUCUCCAGGUCAUUUGCUCUGUUAGGAAUUGGAAAUAUAGGAGUAAAAUAAAUACAUUUUAAUAAAUUGUUUUGAAACAGCACUUCAUAUAGCCACAGCUGACCUCAAGGUUGUUACAUAGCUAGAUUUGAACUCUUGCUCUCCCUGCCUCCACCUCAAAGGUGCUGUGAUUACAGAUGUAUCCAAAUGUGCCUAACUAAACAAAACAAUUAUUAUAAAAUUGUUUCCAUGAGGCUUACAUUCAAGGAUAUCGAUUAUCUGUCAGUCAGGUUCUGUUUGCCUCUCAGGGAGCAAGUGACUGUGUCAGCAAUAUUUGUUUAAUUGUCAAAACUGAUUGAUGGAGCAUCUCAUGAGUACAGGCCAGAGACGCUACCAAAAAAAAAAAAAAAAGGUGCUACAAUGCACAGCAGAGUCUUUCAUGGCAAGGGAUUAUCUUGGCCCAAAUGUAAGUCCCUGUUCAAGAAGGCAAUGAAAAGUAAAAUACAGAGUAUGACAUUUAUGCAUGUAUCUUACAUUUAGAGAGGCCCCUUUGUAAAUAAUAGAAAUGUUUUUCGUAUGCCUAUUAAAUUAUGAAAAACAGAAAUUACAUAUGCUCUGAAUUAC
rnacentral:lncRNA from 1 species